UUUGAUCCUGGCUCAGGACGAACGCUGGCGGCGCGCCUAACACAUGCAAGUCGAACGAGCGAGAGAGAGCUUGCCUUCUCGAGCGAGUGGCGAACGGGUGAGUAACGCGUGAGGAACCUGCCUCAAAGAGGGGGACAACAGUUGGAAACGACUGCUAAUACCGCAUAAGCCCACGGCUCGGCAUCGAGCAGAGGGAAAAGGAGCAAUCCGCUUUGAGAUGGCCUCGCGUCCGAUUAGCUAGUUGGUGAGGUAAUGGCCCACCAAGGCGACGAUCGGUAGCCGGACUGAGAGGUUGAACGGCCACAUUGGGACUGAGACACGGCCCAGACUCCUACGGGAGGCAGCAGUGGGGAAUAUUGCACAAUGGGGGAAACCCUGAUGCAGCGACGCCGCGUGGAGGAAGAAGGUCUUCGGAUUGUAAACUCCUGUUGUUGAGGAAGAUAAUGACGGUACUCAACAAGGAAGUGACGGCUAACUACGUGCCAGCAGCCGCGGUAAAACGUAGGUCACAAGCGUUGUCCGGAAUUACUGGGUGUAAAGGGAGCGCAGGCGGGAAGACAAGUUGGAAGUGAAAUCCAUGGGCUCAACCCAUGAACUGCUUUCAAAACUGUUUUUCUUGAGUAGUGCAGAGGUAGGCGGAAUUCCCGGUGUAGCGGUGGAAUGCGUAGAUAUCGGGAGGAACACCAGUGGCGAAGGCGGCCUACUGGGCACCAACUGACGCUGAGGCUCGAAAGUGUGGGUAGCAAACAGGAUUAGAUACCCUGGUAGUCCACACUGUAAACGAUGAUUACUAGGUGUUGGAGGAUUGACCCCUUCAGUGCCGCAGUUAACACAAUAAGUAAUCCACCUGGGGAGUACGACCGCAAGGUUGAAACUCAAAGGAAUUGACGG
rnacentral:rRNA from 1 species